rnacentral:rRNA from 1 species
UGGGGAAUAUUGCACAAUGGGCGCAAGCCUGAUGCAGCCAUGCCGCGUGUGUGAAGAAGGCCUUCGGGUUGUAAAGCACUUUCAGCGAGGAGGAAGGUGGUGAGCUUAAUACGCUCAUCAAUUGACGUUACUCGCAGAAGAAGCACCGGCUAACUCCGUGCCAGCAGCCGCGGUAAUACGGAGGGUGCAAGCGUUAAUCGGAAUUACUGGGCGUAAAGCGCACGCAGGCGGUUUGUUAAGUCAGAUGUGAAAUCCCCGGGCUCAACCUGGGAACUGCAUUUGAAACUGGCAAGCUAGAGUCUCGUAGAGGGGGGUAGAAUUCCAGGUGUAGCGGUGAAAUGCGUAGAGAUCUGGAGGAAUACCGGUGGCGAAGGCGGCCCCCUGGACGAAGACUGACGCUCAGGUGCGAAAAGCGUGGGGAGCAAAACAGGAUUAGAUACCCUGGUAGUCCACGCUGUAAACGAUGUCGAUUUUGGAGGUUGUGCCCCUUGAGGCGUGGCUUCCGGAGCUAACGCGUUAAAUCGACCGCCUGGGGAGUACGGCC